GACUUCGUAGCUGAGAUAGUAGAGCACUUGGCGGAUUUGGGCUCCCUGUUUCUGUCGCUGGUUUGAAUCCAGCCGAAGCUCA